ACGGAGCAAAGACUUGGAGGGUUGCUGGGCUUGGGAUCACGGGGUUUGCAAGGAAAUCUUUCCCUUGCUCACUUUCUCUGUCUUUCCUCCCACUCAACCCUUCUCCCUCUAGCUCUUUUUCCAUCUUUUUCUCUUCUCGCUGCUCUCACGCCGUCCUGCCUUCUUCUGGAUCUGGCUUCCUCUCUCUCUGUUUUCCCCCAGGACUCUCAGUACGUCUCCUUCCAUCUCAGUCUCCAUCUCUUUCUCAUUCUCGGUCUCUCCGUGUCUCUCUUCCUUGGAGGUUCUUUUCUCCUGCUGACUCUGUCUCUCCCAGUCUCUGUCCCGGUCAGCCUCACUGUUUUUGACUCCCGGUCUCUCCCUCUCUCGCUUGCUCCUUUGCCUCUCGUCUUUCCCCUGUGCUCAUAUUACUAUAACAAAUCAACGUUUCUGACUCAGAACACUGAAGGGUGGGCCCGCUGCCCGUGCUUUCUGAUCUGCAGGCUGAGCAGCGAGGGGUCCAGAUUUCCGGCCGGGGGCUCCAAGUGGCAGGAGGCGAUCGGAUGCUGGACUCCCACACCCACCUCAAGGAACUUGUUGGGCCUGCAAUUUGGGAGCUGCAGGCGCAGCUGGAGAAAGGGUAGCCCGCUGCCUGCCAGGGCCUACAGACCUUUUGGCGACACGCACCUCCCCCAGCCAGCCCCUUCUCUGAUGCUCAUUUGGAGAAGGAGGGGGGGAGUGGGAAGGCGGGGCGGGGGAGACUCUUCCAAUCACUGGCCACCCCAGGGCCUGCCCAGAGCCUCCUCUGACAACCCAUAUUGUGUUCUGCAUCAGCCCCCGUACUCAACCUAAACUCACAUUUUUUUUCUACCUCAAGCCUACUGACAUUUGGGCUGGAGAAUCCUUUGUGGUGGGGGCUGUGCUAAGCACCAUAGGUUGUUUAAGAGAAUCCCUGGCUUCCACCCACUAGAUGCCAGUAACAUCCCUCCCCUCAAAUGUCCCCUGAGAUGGGGGAAAUAAAUCACCACUGGGUGAGACUCACUGCUCUAAACCAUCUCUGCUCCUGUCCUUCUACCCAAAUGCCUCACUCUCAUUUUCUCCCUUGCUAAAGCCAUCCACUGCUCCCCUUUAUUAUUAUUACUAUUAACACCAUAGCAGACAUCUAUCUAGGACUUUCUAUGUGGCCAGUAACUGUGCUAAGGGCUUUGCAUAUGUGUAUGCAUGCGUGCUCAGCCGUGUCUGACUCUUU
rnacentral:lncRNA from 1 species